CAAUCAAUCAAUCAUUCACUCAAUUCUUAUCGAAAUUCCGAGUUGAAAAAAUCUUGAUUCCGAAAUAUUUGGAAAUAAAUGCAAACAAAAUAGCAAUUUUCAUUGCUCAUAAUGGUCAUUUUAUACAUUUCACAUUAUCACCAAAUGCAUCGUGACCAGUUGCUCGUCCACCAAGUCCAGGGUUUUUUCCCUGGCACGUGAUGAAGCAUUGCAGGCUCUAAGGAUGCAGUACACAGAUGAGACAGAUGCAGUACUUCCUGCCUGCAAAUCCUUUAUCAGGAUCUAUGACAAAGGAGCAACUUCGUCAAAGAAAGGUCUGCCAAUCACAUUUUGAGGAUAAAUAAAUCCAAAACAAUCUAUUGGUUAUGAUGAAUGGAUGUCCUAUUUUUUAUUCAUCCAUGAAGAUAAUAACAUCUCGGCGACCAUCCAAGCUGUUGCUGAUCAGGUCAUCCAAAACUCCUGCCAUCUACAUCAGAGCCACAUUAUGGAUAAUAUUAUUGCUGCGUCCUAAGGUUCAGCUUGCAAAUAAACUCAUCAAGCAGAAGCGGUACUGUCUUGGAUGGAGUCAUGAAUCGCGCAUUUCAAGACCAACGGCGUGGAAUAGAGUGGGGUAUAAUCGGAGUCUUAGAAGACUUAGAUUAUGCCGAUGACCUCUGUUUGCUGAGCCACACGCAUCGCGAUAUGCAGUCCAAACUUGAUGACCUACAUCGAGAAGCGGGUAUCACAGGGCUCAAAAUUAACUGCCGGAAGACCCAAGAGAUGCGAUCUGGUGUGAGAAAUUGCACGCCAUUACGGAUUGGUGCAGAGGAUGUGGCACGAGUCCACAAUUUCACCUACCUCGGGAGCGUCGUGUCAGAAACUGGAGGUACCGAAGAGGACAUCACUUCGCGCAUUGCCAAGGCCAGAGUUACCUUCGCACGACUUCGCCCCAUAUGGCAGUCACGGAAAUUGACCCGAAGGGUCAAGAUCAAAAUAUUCGGGUCCAACGUUAAAUCCGUUCUGCUCUAUGGGUGUGAAACGUGGAAGGUCACCAAGGUUAUCUCGCACCAGCUGCAGGUCUUCAUCAACCGCUGCCUUCGCCGAAUUCUCGGCAUAUACUGGCCCGAGAAAAUCUCCAACGUCGAGCUAUUGGAACGCUGCCACGAAAUUCCGAUCGACCAGCAGAUCAAGCGCCGCAAGUGGAACUGGAUUGGCCACACUCCGAAGGGACCCCGAUCACAUCCCUAAGCAGGCUCUGGAUUGGAAUCCCCAAGGAAAACGCAAACGUGGUCGACCCAGGCAAACUUGGCGGCGCACUGUAGCGGACGAGGCGAAGAAGAUCGGCAAAACCUGGAGCGAGAUCAAGCGAGAAGCUCAAGACCGAAC